AACGAACGCUGGCGGCAGGCCUAACACAUGCAAGUCGAGCGAGGACUUCGGUCCUAGCGGCGGACGGGUGAGUAACGCGUGGGAACGUGCCCUUUGCUUCGGAAUAGCCCUAGGAAACUGGGAGUAAUACCGGAUGAGCCCUUUGGGGGAAAGAUUUAUCGGCGAAGGAUCGGCCCGCGUUGGAUUAGGUAGUUGGUGGGGUAAUGGCCUACCAAGCCGACGAUCCAUAGCUGGUUUGAGAGGAUGAUCAGCCACACUGGGACUGAGACACGGCCCAGACUCCUACGGGAGGCAGCAGUGGGGAAUCUUAGACAAUGGGGGAAACCCUGAUCUAGCCAUGCCGCGUGAGCGAUGAAGGCCUUAGGGUUGUAAAGCUCUUUCAGCUGGGAAGAUAAUGACGGUACCAGCAGAAGAAGCCCCGGCUAACUCCGUG
rnacentral:rRNA from 1 species